AUGAACGCUGACAGAAUGCUUAACCCAUGCAAGUCUUUGGCGAAGCUGUGCUUGCACAGCCUAGCCAAGGCGGACGGGUGAGUAACGCGUAAGGAACUUGCCCUGCAGUCAGGGAUAACAGACGGAAACGACUGAUAAGACCUGGUAAAGUCAGGCGGACUCAUGUCCAGCCUGAUGAAAAGAGAUGCUGCAGGAGAGCCUUGCGUCCUAUUAGCUUGUUGGUGGGGUAACGGCCCACCAAGGCGAUGAUAGGUAGCCGGCCUGAGAGGGUGGACGGCCACAAGGGGACUGAGAUACGGCCCUUACUCCUACGGGAGGCAGCAGUGGGGAAUAUUGGACAAUGGGGGCAACCCUGAUCCAGCAAUUCUGUGUGCACGAUGAAGGUUUUCGGAUUGUAAAGUGCUUUCAGCAGGGAAGAAAAAAAUGACGGUACCUGCAGAAGAAGCGACGGCUAAAUACGUG
rnacentral:rRNA from 1 species